rnacentral:SRP_RNA from 1 species
ACUGUAUCAACAGGAAGCUUCUGCCUGGGCAGUGGGUCAUUGCGGGUGGCAGUAUGUUGCGCGGAGUCACUAUUGGCAGGAUGUGGAUGGCGCGUCCGUUUCAAACCAGGAGUGGACAUUGGCGCGUGCGCGUAGGCGCGGGCGUCGAGGUCACUAAGGAAGGGUGCACCGCCCCAGGCUGGCUGACAGAGCAGGGAAAAGCCCUCGCUCUUGGUAGUGGAUCUCGUGCCAGAAUUCUGACGUGGCUGCGCGCGGCUACUCAAAGGGCUU